rnacentral:lncRNA from 1 species
AAGAACUUGACGUAAAGCCUUCCCAUUGAACAUAUAUAUAAGAAAAAUACACGAAAUCUUGAUUUUCUAGAUUUGACGGGAGCACCUUGUACAUCGUUACAUAUGACUUCCUUACUGUCAAGCAGGGGCGAAAUAAACAAAUUCACCGCUGAGGUCACUUUUCAGAAUAUACAGGUGUCAUUUCAUAUUUUAAGAGUGUUUCUAUAUUUCUAACGAGAAUUAGCGAACCGGUGAUUUGACACCAAUGAAUACAAGCUAUUUAGGACAAGUCCAGCACUUUCUCUAAAAUAUCUCUCCUAUAUCUCAAAACGAGGGACUCUCCUAAAAAUAUUCUUCCCUAAAAAUUGUCCAACUCCAGCAGUUCCCCUAAAAGAUCUCCCCUAUUUUAUAUUUUAAGAAUUUUCUGUAACUACCAUUUGAAAUUCAACGGCUACCUCUCCCUUUAGUUCAGAUCACAGCACAUAAUUCCAAAUCCAAAUGGUUCGAAGUUCAUAAUUGGUACAUAUUACAAUUCAGACUAGCUAAAUCUGAAUCCAAGUUGUUCGAAAUUAGUAGAUAUCACAGGAGGGGUAGCUUCUUGAGUCUCUUCGAGAUUGAUGUGAUGUUCUUCAUGCCCUUCAGACCAAUGCAAAUCGUCCAAUCCAACAUCACUUUGCAAGAGAUCGGUAUAGCCAUUAUAACUCUGAUUUUCCAUUACCAAAAUCUGAAACAAAAGUAGAGCAUCUUAGCAUUUUGGCAGCACAAGAAACGUGCAGUAGAUACAACGAAUUAGUCUCAAUUAGUAGACGGCAAUUGACAACAAUCUGGAAUCAUCUCAAUUAGUUGUUCCACGGGGAGAACUGGAGAAGGCCGACCAUGUCCGGGGAGGCACGAUGGCCGCUGUUUGCCCCCCUCCUCCUCCCCUGCGGGCCGACAAUCCACUCCCCUGCUGGCCGCCCCCCCCCCCCUCCUCCUCCCCUGCGGGCCGACAAUCCACUCCCCUGCUGGCCGCCCCCCCCCCCCCUCCUCCUCCUCCUCCCUUGCUGGCUGCUCCCUCCACUCCCCUGCUGGCCGCCGCCGCCCGCCUGCUGGCGGCCCCCCUCCUCCUCCUCAUCCCCUGCUGGCUGCCGCCCUCCACUCCCCUACUACCGCCGCCUCCACUCCCCUGCUGGCCGCCGCCCGCCCCAAAUCGAACAAAAACAGAGAAAGGAGAAGGACGGAGGGUGAGGAGUACCUGCAGGUGGCGCGCAUGGUGGCGGCGGUUGGUCCUCGCGAUCGAUAGGGGGAGGGAUCGGGCUCCCCGAUCUGUAGUGGAGAAAGAGCUCUGGAUCGGUGAUGCCAAAAUAUCGGGGAGGUUUUAGGGGAAUUGCUGGAAGUCGUUUUUGGAUUUUUUUUUUCCCCUAAAUUUGGUAUUGGGGAGGCUUUAGGGGAACUGCGGCCUGCUCUUACACCCCUGCUCACAUGUGGCCUGCCCAAAUCAAUAAAUCAUCCAAACGCACAUAGGCUCAUACUGACUAUGUAGUGUUAAACUAAAUCAAGGGGCACUCAACAAUAAGUAAAAUUAAUCAGAAAACAACUAAACAAUUAAAGAAAGAUAAAAAAAAGUUACAUUGGAGAUCCUUGAAGAGAAAAAAAUGGUUCGCAUGGGGUCCUUGUCCAGGGAGAGUUGGCGACAGGCAGUGAGGGGCUGUGAGCCCAUUCUCCAGAUCAUGCGAGAGGCUCCAAGUAGCAAUCGGCGUUAAGACGGAAAUUAAUUCGUAAUAUUUGUGAUCUUCUCGGGACCGCUCCUACUUAAAAUUGCUGUACGAGUUGGAUCGCGACGUGCCAUUGUUGAUUAAACUUGCAACGUUGUGCACUGUACACCACUAAUCAGCUGU